GAAGCCUGCGAGAGGGGAGCGACCGUCAGUUAGCAAAUCAGAGAGCAAGCCUGUGAUUGCACUAACGAGCGGAGGGGAGGAUACAGUCAUUAAUAAAGAGGCUGUGGAGGGUUGGAAAUAAGACUCCUGUUGCACAGCAGUUUCACCCAUUCCAGGUUUUACUACAAACUUGAUUAGCCCCAGUGUAUAGGGAACAAGCUCAGGCAGGCAACGCUGUUCAACUCUGACUGACCUCUUGUCUGUGGUGACCCCAGGAGUGACCCCCACGGACAGGGAGGCGAGCGCAGU